GACGAACGCUGGCGGCGUGCCUAAUACAUGCAAGUUGAGCGCUGAAGGUUGGUACUUGUACCGACUGGAUGAGCAGCGAACGGGUGAGUAACGCGUGGGGAAUCUGCCUUUGAGCGGGGGACAACAUUUGGAAACGAAUGCUAAUACCGCAUAAAAACUUUAAACACAAGUUUUAAGUUUGAAAGAUGCAAUUGCAUCACUCAAAGAUGAACCCGCGUUGUAUUAGCUAGUUGGUGAGGUAAAGGCUCACCAAGGCGAUGAUACAUAGCCGACCUGAGAGGGUGAUCGGCCACAUUGGGACUGAGACACGGCCCAAACUCCUACGGGAGGCAGCAGUAGGGAAUCUUCGGCAAUGGACGAAAGUCUGACCGAGCAACGCCGCGUGAGUGAAGAAGGUUUUCGGAUCGUAAAACUCGGUUGGUAGAGAAGAACGUUGGUGAGAGUGGAAAGCUCAUCAAGUGACGGUAACUACACAGAAAGGGACGGCUAACUACGUG
rnacentral:rRNA from 1 species